rnacentral:rRNA from 1 species
GGUUAAACGAAGAAUCCGAGCAGGGAAAUAAGUAUAAAUCAAUUAAUAUAAGAUGCAAAAAGUAAAGUCUAAUCUCUUUUUUUAAGUGAAAUUUCUACAAAGAAAAAAGUUUUCUUAUAAUAUCUUGAAGAAUUGAAAAAUAAGAAUAAAAAACCAGGAUUAGAUACCCUGCUAUUUCUUAAAAUAUCUUUAAUAGGGUAGUAAAAGUUGUUCUUCAAACCCAAAGGUUUUGGCGGCACCCUAACCAAAUAGAGGAGCUUGUUUUAUAAUCGAUAAUCCCCGUUAAAUCUUACCUGCGCUGGUUAAGUUUGUAUACCUCCGUUGUCAGAUUACUCCAAAAGGAUGUUCUCUAGAAAAAUAACUUUCUUACUUCAGGUCAAGGUGCAACUUAUGUGAAGGCAAUUAUGAGCUACAAUUCUUUUCAGAAUACGGAUAAUUUGGAUGAAAUUCUAUUUGAAGGUGGAUUUAUUAGUAAGUUAAUUUUAGGAAAAUUUACUGAAUCAUGGCAAUAGUGUGUGCACAUAUCGCCCGUCACUCUCCUUUUAAGAGGAGAUAAGUCGUAACAAA